rnacentral:lncRNA from 1 species
UGGGCCCUGGAUCUGCAGUGUGUACAACAUCUGGAAGCUCAUUAGAAAUGCACAUUCUGAAGUCCACCCUGGGCUUACUAAAUCAGACACAUUGGAGAUGGGGCCCUGAAAUCUGUUUUAACAAGCCUUCCAGGGAAUUCUCAUGCUCCCCAAAGUUUGAGAAUCACUGUUGUUAGGCGAUAGUAGGACCAUAAGAUGGAAGAACCCUGGGUUCCUGAAUCACCACAUGGAGGACAGCCACCUACCAGAAAGAGUUGCACAGAGUACUCUACAAACUGGAAAGAAAUCAUGGUUGGAUUAAGGUUAAUCCAACCUUAAUUUUAAUGGAGGGUUCAUUUUUUAUAUCAGCUGGUGUUACACUAAUAUCUUGGAAGGACCAACUUUAUACCAAACACAAUCAAAAUGAGGAGGGAAGACAGUGUAAUAUCACUAGAUUCCUAACACUUUAAAGGGGAUACAUAAGUGUCUUCACACAUCUACAGUUGUAGGUGUACCCUCCCCCACGUCAUGAUCCCAUGUCAGCAAUAGGAGUACAGAUCAGGGUCUUUACCGAUCAGGGUCUAGAAAUCACAAGCAGCGACGGAUCAUCUACUCAAACCUGCAGGCCUCAAGGAUGAGCAGGAAGAGCAAGAGCUGUGGCUGAUCCCGAGGGACUGGGUGUCUUGUGCCAGUCUCAUGCAGAUGGCUUUCACAGGAAAGAAGACAGACACCAUGGACUACCUGCCAGUGAGCUGAGUAUCUAACUAUAUAAGCACUGUUCCAGGACAAGGUUCAAGAAUUUUCCAGUGUCUGUGAAUCUACACAUACCUGGGUGUGAGCAGCUACUAUCCUGCUACUGACCUGGCUAGAUUAGCUUUUAUCGGAUCUGCAAGGAUGUGGGAUCUGGUAGGAAGAAUUCCAAGAAGACUCUCCAGCUCUCAGUGACUCUUGCUCUUGUGUGAUCCUCUUUCCUUCAAGUGUGAUCAGAAACUGUGAAAUAUGAUUUUAAAAAUCCACCCCCAACCCCAUAAUUAUGGUACAUGAUUUGGCAAAAGGGAGAUCAUCCUGGGUGGACUUGACCAAAUCCAGUGACUCCUUUAAAAGUCUAGAGUCUUCUCUGGCUGGUGACAGAAAAGAGACAGAGUGACAUGCUCCGGGUGGCUUAGAAGAGAAAAAGUACCCAUGUGGACUGUCUACUGGGGCUGUGACUCAGUGGUAGAGCCCUGCCUAGAAUGUGCAAGGCCCUGAGUUCCAACCUCAGCACCACCAAAAGACAAAAGAAAAAACAGAGCCCCAGUCCCACAACCCCAAGCAACUAAAUGCUGCCAACCCCCAGGAGCUUGGAAGAGGAUCCCAAGCCACAGAUGAGAACAAAGCCCCACAAAUCCAGGACUACAAAUCCACAGAACCGUGAGAUACAGUCACACAUCACUUCACAACGGGGACAUCUUCUGAGAAAUGCAUCAUUAGGCAAUUUCAUCAUUGUGCAAACAUCAUAGAGUAUCCUUCAACAAAUUAAAGAUGGCUACCAUGUCACUAGGUGAUAUAAUUUUAUGGAACCACAGUCGAAUAUGCUAUCAUUGACCAAAAUGUUGCUGCUAGGUAGCACAUGACUGUAAUAAAUUUGAGGUAUUUUAAGC